UGGAAAGAAUAUUCUACUUUAGAGUCAGGCAAAUCUGAAUCUGAAUUUUUUUUUUGCCAUUUGGAAGUUAUGUGAUUCUAGGUGAGUUGCUUAAAUUUCCUGAAACUUAGUUUCUUCAUGUGCAAAAUGGGUUUAUGAUACCUAGUUUAUAGAGUGGUUGUGCACACCAGGUGAGUCAUGUAAACUACAUAGUGCAAGGUGAACAUUCAACAGAUACUAAGUCUAUUCCUUUUUAUAAACAUGUUGCUGGCCUGAAGAUAUUGCAGAUUACCUAUGUUCAUAAUAUCUGUGAGAGAGUUUUCAAGUGAGAAUUUGUCUGAAGUAAAUGUUUGGAUAUUACUUGAGAAGAAAAGGAUUGAGAAGUAACUAUGUUUCCAGAAGGUAAUUAAAAUUUUAUAAAAUGGCAGAUGAACAUAGAAGACAGUGGGCAGUGGUUGCAGGGAAAGAGCAAGAUUCUGUCUCAAAAAAGAAAUGACUAUAGGUAAUAAAUGAGUAAUUUUUGCAUGUAUCUUGGCCAUACAACUAAAUAUACAACAAAAAUUAUUAAUAGCAAUAAGACAGGAUAUAUAUACACACACACACACAUAUAUAUAUCUCUAUAUAUACACACACACAAAUCUAUAAAAAUCAAUGGAAUUCUUGCUCAUAUCCUAUUAAUAUAGAUCUUGGAAACUGCCAAAAAUACAUUUCAUGAAACUGGCCAAUGCCCUAGCCUGUAUGUCACCUGAUAUUUCUACAUGUAUACUUUAUGUUUUUUCCUCAACACAAAGGUUUUUUUGUUCUCAUAGAAACAAAUUAUGCAGACUCAAUGGGAAAAGCAAAGGAAGAUACAAAUAAUGGGAUACCUAUGAGGAAAUAUUAAUUGAUGUGAAGAUAGUAAUAUUCCCUAGUUUAUAUUUAUAUCUGGUACAAUAUUGGAGUCUUUGCAGAAUAUUUCUCAGACAUUAAAUUUUUUGAAAUAUAAAUCUUUAUGGAAGAGUGAGCAAGAGUGCCAGAAGUUUUUUUUAAAGGCAAUAACAGUGUCAUUGCUAUAUAAGAUUUUUAAAAUGACAAUCAAAACUACAUGAUAUGGAGCUGAAAACUGGAUAAAUUCAGAAAUACAUUUAAAUUACUAAAGUAGAUGUCUAAAAAUAUUUGUUAAAGAGAGGUUGAAUAUAUCUCAGGCCUCAAGAUUUAACAAAAGUAUUAUAGUAAUGAGAAAAUUAAUGAAUAUUGAAUGUUCUAUGGGGCAGCUGAAUACCAGUAUAAAAUAUAUUAACUUGAAUUAAUUUC
rnacentral:lncRNA from 1 species